rnacentral:misc_RNA from 1 species
GAUGAAUAACGUAGCGAAAUGCGAUAAGUAAUGUGAAUUGCAGAAUUCAGUGAAUCAUCGAAUCUUUGAACGCACAUUGCGCCCGCCAGUAUUCUGGCGAGCAUGCCUGUUCGAGCGUCAUUUCAACCAUCAAGCCCCAGGCUUGUGUUGGAGCCCUGCGGCUGCCGCAGCCUCCCAAAACCAGUGGCGGGCUCGCUAUCACACCGAGUGCAGUAGUUUACUCUUCGCUCAGGGCGUGUGGCGGGUGCUAGCCGUGAAACCCCCAACUUCUCAAGGUUGACCUCGGAUCAGGUAGGAAUACCCGCUGAACUUAAGCAUAUCAAUAAGCGGAGGA